GCGUCCAUUAUAUAAUGCAUAGGAUAGAAGUAUUCUAAACCUUUGGUAUAGGUUCAAAUCCUAUUGGACAUA
rnacentral:tRNA from 1 species